UCAAUGUGCUCAAUGGGAAAAAUCUGCAUCCAAGAAUACCCUAUCCAACAAGUCUGUCAUUCAGAAUAAGAGAG